rnacentral:rRNA from 1 species
GGUGGAAAGUGGCGGAAGGGUGAGUAACGCGUGGGCAAUCUGCCCUUGAGUUGGGGACAACGUCUGGAAACGGACGCUAAUACCGAAUGUGGUUGUUUAACUCCUGUUAGACACACUAAAGGUGGGGAAUCUUCGGAUCCUGCCGCUCAGGGAGGAGCCCGCGUGCCAUCAGCUUGUUGGUAAGGUAACGGCUUACCAAGGCUUACGGCUAGCCGGCCUGAGAGGGUGAUCGGCCACACUGGGACUGAGACACUGCCCAGACUCCUAUGGGAGGCUGCAGUCGAGGAUCAUUCGCAAUGCGCGAAAGCGUGACGAUGCGACGCUGCGUGGAGGAUGACGGCCUUAGGGUUGUAAACUCCUGUCAUGAGGGAAAAGUAACCUGACGACUAAUAAUUGUCGGGAUCGAUGGUACCUCAAGAGGAAGCCACGGCUAACUCUGUGCCAGCAGCCGCGGUAAUACAGAGGUGGCGAGCGUUGUUCGGAUUUACUGGGCGUAAAGGGUGCGUAGGUGGUCAUGUAUGUCGGGUGUGAAAGCCCACGGCUCAACCGUGGAAUUGCAUUCGAAACUGCAAGACUAGAGUACAGGAGGGGAGAGCGGAAUUCUUGGUGUAGCGGUGAAAUGCGUUGAUAUCAAGAAGAACACCGGUGGCGAAGGCGGCUCUCUGGAAUGUUACUGACACUGAUGCACGAAAGCUGGGGGAGCGAACAGGAUUAAAUACCCUGUAGUCCCAGCCGUAAACGGUGCACACUUUGGUGUGGGGGGAUUUGACCCCCUUCGUGCCCGAGCUAACGCGUUAAGUGUUCCGCCUUGGGAGUACGGUC